rnacentral:rRNA from 1 species
UAAGAGACAGCAGCAGCCGCGGGAACACGUAGGUCCCGAGCGUUGUCCGGAUUUAUUGGGCGUAAAGCGAGCGCAGGCGGUUAGAUAAGUCUGAAGUUAAAGGCUGUGGCUUAACCAUAGUACGCUUUGGAAACUGUUUAACUUGAGUGCAAGAGGGGAGAGUGGAAUUCCAUGUGUAGCGGUGAAAUGCGUAGAUAUAUGGAGGAACACCGGUGGCGAAAGCGGCUCUCUGGCUUGUAACUGACGCUAAGGCUCGAAAGCGUGGGGAGCAAACAGGAUUAGAUACCCCAGUAGUCCCUGUCUCUUAUACA